GGAUACUUUUGACGAUGCCACUCUAUCGGUGUUGGAGGUCAGGCGAAGACCCUGCCCUGUACCUGGAAAAGCAUCCUCUCUCCUCCCCAGUUCUGCUUUCUGAUGGCUCAACCACCAUUGUGGCUGUGGGUAAUGUACCUGUGACCACCCUCCCUCAGGAAGAUUUCUCAGACGGGAUGUUGGUGUUAAUGGCAUAUUACUACACUUUGCACUUAAGAUAUCCAAAAUGUGUUGCAACGCUCCUGUCAGUUAUUCAAACAGAGGUAAUUGGUGACACAAUCCACGAUCAAGAUGCCACUAGUGCUUACAGGAAAGCAAUGGCUGAUUGGAAGUCUUUCAUUGAGAAGUAGCUGAGUAUUUUGUCAUGCCAGUUCUUAUUGUUAGCUGUGAGUUCUUAUUGUUAGCUGUGCCUAAUAAUAGUUUUGUGUUGCACAAGCUUAUACAGUCACUGAGUUAUUACCUCAUUUAGGCCUGUAUUUAAAAUGAUAGUUAAGGAAAAAUCCAUAACUGAGGGCUGAGAAGUGUUUUUGUUUUUUGCCCUUUUGCUUUUAAUUUCUUUUAUUUUUAUGGAAAAGUAUUCAAAUGUCUAUAGCAAACUUGACUUGCUGAUGUUAAAUAAAUGUUGUCUUAAGC
ensembl:lncRNA